GACGAACGCUGGCGGCGCGCUUAACACAUGCAAGUCGAGCGAAGCGGCGGACGGGUGAGUAACACGUGAGUAACCUGCCUUAGACAUUGGGAUAGCCUCGGGAAACCGGGAUUAAUACCAAAUGGUCUAAGAUGGACUCGCAUCCCAUUAGCUAGUUGGUGGGUAACGGCCCACCAAGGCGACGAUGGGUAGCCGGCCAGUGAGAGUGAACGGACACACUGGAGCUGAGAAAAGGUCGAAAAUCUACGGAAGGCAGCAGUGGGGAAUAUUGCACAAUGGAGGGAACUCUGAUGGAGCGAGGCCGCUUGAACGAAGAAGGCUUUCGAGUAGUAAAGUUCUUUUAUAUGGGAAGCGGUACCAAAAGAAAAAGCCCCGGCUAACUACGUGCCAGCAGCCGCGGUAAUAC
rnacentral:rRNA from 1 species